GAUGAACGCUAGCUACAGGCUUAACACAUGCAAGUCGAGGGACCGGCGCAUGGGUGAGUAACACGUAUCCAACCUGCCCUUUACUCGGGGAUAGCCUUUCGAAAGAAAGAUUAAUACCCGAUAUAAAGGAUGGGGAUGCGUUCCAUUAGGUUGUUGGUGAGGUAACGGCUCACCAGGCCUGCGAUGGAUAGGGGUUCGUAGAGGAAGGUCCCCCACAUUGGAGCUGGGACACGGUCCAAACUCCUACGGGAGGCAGGAGUAAGGAAUAUUGGGCAAUGGGCGGUAGCCUGAACCAGCCAAGUAGCGUGAAGGAUGAAGGCUCAUGGGUCGUAAACUGCUUUUAUAUAAGAAUAUGUAUUAUAUGAAUAAGGAUCGGCUAACUCCGUGCCAGCAGCCGCGGUAAUAC
rnacentral:rRNA from 1 species